rnacentral:rRNA from 1 species
AGAGAGAGACAUGCGCGCAUAUCAAUAAGCGGAGGAAAAGAAACUAACAAGGAUUCCCCUAGUAACGGCGAGUGAAGCGGGAAGAGCUCAAAUUUGAAAUCUUAAAGGGUUUCCCUUUACGAAUUGUAGUUUAAAGAAGUGUUUUCUGUUGAGGUUUUGGUAAAAGUUCUUUGGAAUAGGACAUCAUAGAGGGUGAGAAUCCCGUAUUUGACCUUUACUUUCAACUUUGUGAUACACUUUCAAAGAGUCGGAUUGUUUGGGAAUGCAGUCCAAAAUGGGUGGUAAAUUUCAUCUAAAGCUAAAUAUUGGCGAGAGACCGAUAGCGAACAAGUACCGUGAGGGAAAGAUGAAAAGAACUUUGAAAAGAGAGUUAAACAGUACGUGAAAUUGUCAAAAGGGAAGCGUUUGACACCAGUGUUGUUUUUCUGAAAAUCAAUUAAAGAACUGUUUAUGCUAAGUUGUUUAGACUUUAUCAGCUAACUGUUUAGUUUUGAGCUUUUCUUUAAUGCACUUUUCAGUUUAACAAGUCAACAUCAAUUUCUUUUGCUGUAAAAAAGCUUGAGGAAGGUGGCUUGAGAUUCGUCUUAAGUGUUUAUAGCCUCUUGCCUAUGCAGUCGGAGAGAUUGAGGUCUGCAGCGUAGAUCCUUCGGGGCUAAAUGCAUUUGUGCUAAGUUAUAGCAUUUUAUAGACAACUUGUUGACUAUGAUUUGUCUUGUAGCUUACUCGCUUAUGUUAUUUUACCUACGCUUAGGAUGUUGAGCGCAUGUCUCUCUCU